rnacentral:lncRNA from 1 species
CUCACUUCUGGCUAUUCCAUAGCUGCUGCUUUUCCCAUCCCCUGCUCUUGUGCGCUCUCGACUUGCCAGGAAGAACAACUCUGCAACAGGAUCCUUCUGCACACGUUUAUUGGGAGAGCUUGAUUGUAGAAGCGAAAAGACCCUGAGCCCAGAACUGGUGCUGCUUUUAUAGGCCUAGGAGAGGCGUGACUCACACCCGGAUUGGUUGUGCUUGGGUUAUGCUAAUCACCUCAUUUGCAUGCCUACAUCUGAUUGGUUAACUUCUCUCCCAUCUUGGCAAAAGAACCUUUACUGCCUAUGUAUGUGUGGUGGCCAGCAGUAGCCAACUGCUACUCUGCAACUGCCACUCUGCAAUUGCCACUCUGUAACUGCCACUCUGCAACGGCUUCCCACACCCUGCCCCAGCUCUCUCCCCUCACCUGAUCAGGACCAUCCUCCUCCUAUUGACACAGGUCACAUCACAGAAUGUCCUUAGUGAGUCUCCGAGGCACAGACUUCUGCAUGCCCAGGAAUGUUUUCCUUCACCCUCUCUGAAGGGUGGCUUUGCUGCAGCUGGCACCGUGCUGACGGUCACUUCUCACCUGACAUCGGGACACCCUUCAUUGACAUCUUAGAGCCAGUGCAGCAGCCUUCUCCUCUGCUGCUUUGGAGAAGUCUUGCCCACCUGGUCACCGGCAUCAGACCCCCUGGCCGCACUUGUUCUGGCUCUCUGCCAGGCACACUCUCCAGCCAGGUGCCUGGCCCUCAGCAGACGAAGCUUUGGAAACUCCUAGGGUUGUCCCUCCGACGAGCCUGCAGCCAGUCCAGGGACCCGGGACUCGCUCUGCACAGGUGGGGGAAGCUUUCAACUCAUUUUACUUCAGGAAGGCAGAAUCCCGAGAAAUGAGCUGUUAACCAGCCAGCAGCCAACUAUCUACUGGAGGAACGGCAGUUUGGUUUUUUCCACCCUGUUUACCUUGCGUUAAGUACAUGAAAAUGAUGUCACUGUAUACCUUUCCAGCUGGUACAGGGACAAGGUUUCUGGGCCUGGACUCUGGCCCCACCUCAAAGGUUUUCCCUCACCUUGCUCUGGUCAGCCUCUCCAGCGUGGGACGGCCAUGGUGAGGGUAGGAAGGCCAGUGUCCCACCUAGCUCUCUCCACCAGUCCUCUAAGCUCAGCCCCAGCAGGCCUCACAGGGAAGACUACACUGCCUCUGGUUUGUCCCCUCGGCCCCUUCAUACCCCUCUGCUUCCUCGGACAGCUUGUGAAACAGCCUCCUGCCUAGAACCCUUGGCGCCAGCUUUGAGUUCAGCAUUACACAAUUGCCUGGAGAUAGAUAUGUCCACGCAACUUCAAUGCUGACUGCUCUCCACGGCACCCUGGGGUGCCACCUGCCAGAGCAGCUCCAUUUUCAGCUCCACCCCCAAGGAUCCCAAUUCUCUAUUCAUUGUCUCUUUCUCAGCCCCCUUCCCUUAAGGAGCCUUUCAACGCCAGCGCCAGCCCCACAAUGUCCCCUUGGUGUUCUCAAGAUGUCUGUGUAGAAGAGAAUGCUUUUGGCGCUGGGACUGCUAUGUGCGCAAGCUUUGCAAGACCCAAAGGCUGGCAGCUCCCCCAGGAAGAGAUGUGCAUGGGGUUGAGAGGAAGGGUGAGAUGGUGGCAGGGAGGUAGGACAGCUUCUGGAAGAGGGAAAAGGCAGGGACCACUCUGAGAGCUGGGAGGGGCCCUUCUCAGGGAAGUGUCACAACAGUCAGAUGACUUUGUGCUAACCCUGAUGCUCUCUGCCACAGUCCCCUAUCUGCUCUUUUCCCUGGCUUGGGAACAAGUCUCUGAGUUCUUAAGCAGUCCUCGAAGCUGGCAUGGUAGAGCAGGGAGGGGUUCCCUGACCCUUGGUCAGAAGACAGGAACA